rnacentral:rRNA from 1 species
CCCUUAGACGUUCUGGGCCGCACGCGCGCUACACUGACCAGUGCAACAAGCAUCCGUCCUUGGCCGACAGGCUCGGGCAAUCUUUGAACGCUGGUCGUGAUGGGGAUAGACUUUUGCAAUUUUUGGUCUUCAACGAGGAAUUCCUAGUAAACGCAAGUCAUCAACUUGCAUUGAUUACGUCCCUGCCCUUUGUACACACCGCCCGACGCACCUACCGAUUGAAUGGUCCGGUGAAGCCUCCGGAUUGGCGCGCACCUCGGUGCCGCCGAGAAGUUGGCUAAACCUUACCAUUUAGAGGAAGGUGAANUCGUAACA